ensembl:lncRNA
AUGAUCAUCAUCUGUUCCCAAAAAACAGAUUGUAUGAUAGAACAUGUAGAAAUGUACCAAUGUAGUAGUAGUAGUAGUAGUAGUAGUAGUAGUAGUAGUAGUGAUAGUAGUAGUAGUAGUAGUAGUAGCAUUAGUAGUAGUAGUGAUAGUAGUAGUAGUAGUAGUAGUAGUAGUAGUAGUAGUAGUAGUAGUAGCAGUAGCAUUAGUAGUAGUGAUAGUAGUAGUGAUAGUAGUAGUACUAGUAGUAGUAGCAUUAGUAGUAGUAGUAUUAGUAGUAGUAGUAGCAUUAGUAGUAGUAGUAGUGAUAGUAGUAGUAGUAGUAGCAGUAGCAUUAGUAGUAGUAGUGAUAGUAGUAGUAGUAGUAGUAGUAGUAGCAUUAGUAGUAGUAGUAGUAGUAGUAGUAGUGAUAGUAGUAGUAGUAGUAGUAGUAGCAUUAGUAGUAGUAGUAGUAGUAGUAGUAGUAGUAGUAGUAGUAGCAGUAGCAUUAGUAGUAGUAGUAGUAGUAGUAGUAGUAGCAGUAGCAUUAGUAGUAGUAGUAGUAGUAGUGAUAGUAGUAGUAGUAGUAGCAGUAGCAUUAGUAGUAGUGAUAGUAGUAGUAGUAGUAGUAGUAGCAUUAGUAGUAGUAGUAGUAGUAGUAGUAGUAGUAGUAGCGGUAGCAUUAGUAGUAGUGAUAGUAGUAGUGAUAGUAGUAGUAGUAAUAGUAGUAGCAUUAGUAGUAGUAGUAGUAGUAGUAGUAGUAGCAGUAGCAUUAGUAGUAGUAGUAGUAGUAGUAGUAGUAGUAGUAGCAGUAGCAUUAGUUGUAGUAGUGAUAGUAGUAGUAGUAGUAGUAGUAGUAGCAUUAGUUGUAGUAGUGAUAGUAGUAGUAGUAGUAGUAGUAGUAGUAGUAGCAUUAGUAGUAGUAGUAGUAGUAGUAGUAGUAGUAGUAGUAGUAGUAGUAGCAGUAGCAUUAGUAGUAGUAGUGAUAGUAGUAGCAGUAGCAUUAGUAGUAGUAGCAGUAGUAAUAGUAGUAGUAGUAGGUGUAGUAGCAGUAGCAUUAGUAGUAGUGAUAGUAGUAGUAGUAGUAGUAGUAGUAGUGAUAGUAGUAGUAGUAGUAGUAGUAGUAGCAUUAGUAGUAGUAGUGAUAGUAGUAGUAGUAGUAGUAGUAGUAGUAGUAGUGAUAGUAGUAGUAGUAGUAGUAGUAGUAGUAGUAGUAGUGAUAGUAGUAGUAGUAGUAGUAGUAGCAUUAGUAGUAGUAGUGAUAGUAGUAGUAGUAGUAGUAGUAGUAGUAGUAGUAGCAGUAGCAUUAGUAGUAGUGAUAGUAGUAGUGAUAGUAGUAGUACUAGUAGUAGUAGCAUUAGUAGUAGUAGUAGUAGUAGUAGUAGUAGUAGCAUUAGUAGUAGUAGUAGUGAUAGUAGUAGUAGUAGUAGCAGUAGCAUUAGUAGUAGUAGUGAUAGUAGUAGUAGUAGUAGUAGUAGCAUUAGUAGUAGUAGUAGUAGUAGUAGUAGUAGUAGUAGCAGUAGCAUUAGUAGUAGUAGUAGUAGUAGUAGUAGUAGCAGUAGCAUUAGUAGUAGUAGUAGUAGUAGUGAUAGUAGUAGUAGUAGUAGCAGUAGCAUUAGUAGUAGUAGUGAUAGUAGUAGUAGUAGUAGUAGUAGUAGUAGCAUUAGUAGUAGUAGUAGUAGUAGUAGUAGUAGUAGUAGUAGUAGUAGUAGCGGUAGCAUUAGUAGUAGUGAUAGUAGUAGUGAUAGUAGUAGUAGUAAUAGUAGUAGCAUUAGUAGUAGUAGUAGUAGUAGUAGUAGUAGCAGUAGCAUUAGUAGUAGUAGUAGUAGUGAUAGUAGUAGUAGUAGUAGCAGUAGCAUUAGUUGUAGUAGUGAUAGUAGUAGUAGUAGUAGUAGUAGUAGCAUUAGUAGUAGUAGUAGUAGUAGUAGUAGUAGUAGUAGUAGUAGCAGUAGCAUUAGUAGUAGUAGUAGUAGUGAUAGUAGUAGCAGUAGCAUUAGUAGUAGUAGCAGUAGUAAUAGUAGUAGUAGUAGGUGUAGUAGCAGUAGCAUUAGUAGUAGUGAUAGUAGUAGUGAUAGUAGUAGUAGUAGUAGUAGCAUUAGUAGUAGUAGUAGUAGUAGUAGUGAUAGUAGUAGUAGUAGUAGCAGUAGCAUUAGUAGUAGUAGUGAUAGUAGUAGUAGUAGUAGCAGUAGCAUUAGUAGUAGUAGUAGUAGUGAUAGUAGUAGCAGUAGCAUUAGUAGUAGUAGCAGUAGUAGGUGUAGUAGUAGUAGUAGUAAUAAUAGCAGUAGCAGUAGUAGUAGUAAUAGUAGUAGUGAUAGUAGUAGUAGUAGUAGUAGUAGUAGUAGUGAUAGUAGUAGUAGUAGUAGUAGUAGUAGUAGUGAUAGUAGUAGUCGUAGUAGUAGUAGAAGGGGUAGUAGUAAUAGUGAUAGUAGUAGUAGUAGUAGUAGUAGUAGUAUUAGUAGUAGUAGUAGUAGUGAUAGUAGUAGUAGUAGUAGUAGUAGAAGGGGUAGUAGUAAUAGUGAUAGUAGUAGUAGUAGUAGUAGUAGUAGUAGUAGAAGUGGUAGUUAUCUCUGUCCCUCCAGGUGUUCUGUUUGCCAACAAAGCCCUCCCUUCCACUCUCUGUCCCUCCCUCUCUCUGUCCCUCCCUCCCUCUCUCUGUCCCUCCCUUCCACUCUCCUCCCUCUCUCUGUCCCUCCCUCCCUCUCUCUGUCCCUCCCUUCCACUCUCCUCCCUCCCUCUCUCUGUCCCUCCCUCCCUCUCUCUGUCCCUCCCUCCCUCUCUCUGUCCCUCCCUUCCACUCUCCUCCCUCCCUCUCUCUGUGCCUCCCUCCCUCUCUCUGUCCCUCCCUUCCACUCUCCUCCCUCCCUCUCUCUGUCCCUCCCUUCCACUCUCCUCCCUCCCUCUCUCUGUCCCUCCCUCCCUCUCUCUGUCCCUCCCUCCCACUCUCCUCCCUCCCUCUCUCUGUCCCUCCCUCCCACUCUCCUCCCUCCCUCUCUCUGUCCCUCCCUCCCUCUCUCUGUCCCUCCCUCCCACUCUCCUCCCUCCCUCUCUCUGUCCCUCCCUCCCUCUCUCUGUCCCUCCCUCCCUCUCUCUGUCCCUCCCUUCCACUCUCUGUCCCUCCCUCUCUCUGUCCCUCCCUCCCUCUCUCUGUCCCUCCCUUCCACUCUCCUCCCUCCCUCCCUCUCUCUGUCCCUCCCUCCCUCUCUCUGUCCCUCCCUUCCACUCUCCUCCCUCCCUCUCUCUGUCCCUCCCUCCCUCUCUCUGUCCCUCCCUCCCACUCUCCUCCCUCCCUCUCUCUGUCCCUCCAGGUGUUCUGUUUGCCAAGAAGCCCUCCCUCCCCAUGAUGCUGGGUGGUCACCAGAUCCAGAACCACACCUCCUCUCAGGGAAAGACCAGUCUGGGGCUGAACUCCUCCUGCGUACAGAUCCAUCCGUCCUGCUGCUGCUCCUCCUCCUCCUCCUCCACGUCCUCCACAUCCUCGGUCCACAGACCCGGAAACUCCUCCCCCUGAUCUGA